rnacentral:rRNA from 1 species
CCUACGGGUGGCAGCAGUGGGGAAUAUUGCACAAUGGGGGGAAGUCUGAUGCAGCAAUGCCGCGUGAAGGAUGAAGGCCUUCGGAUUGUAAAAUUCUUUUGUACGGGACGAAGAAAGUGACGGUACCGUAAGUAUAAGUCACGGCUAACUACGUGCCAGCAGCCGCGGUACUACGUAGGUGGCGAGCUUUAUCCGGAUUUACUGGGUGUAAAGGGCGAGUAGGCGGGAUUGUAAGUCAGAUGUGAAAACUAUGGGCUCAACCGUUAGAGUGCAUGUGAAACUGGAGGUCUUGAGUGUUGGAGAGGCAGGCGGAAUUCCCGGUGUAGCGGUGGAAUGCGUAGAUAUCAGGAAGAACACCGGUGGCGAAGGCAGCCUGCUGGACAUUAACUGACGCUGAGGCGCGAAAGCGUGGGGAGCAAACAGGAUUAGAUACCCCUGUAGUC